GACGAACGCUGGCGGUGUGCUUAACACAUGCAAGUCGAACGGAAAGGCCCUGCUUUUGUGGGGUGCUCGAGUGGCGAACGGGUGAGUAACACGUGAGUAACCUGCCCUUGACUUUGGGAUAACUUCAGGAAACUGGGGCUAAUACCGGAUAGGAGCUCCUGCUGCAUGGUGUGGGUUGGAAAGUUUCGGCGGUUGGGGAUGGACUCGCGGCUUAUCAGCUUGUUGGUGGGGUAGUGGCUUACCAAGGCUUUGACGGGUAGCCGGCCUGAGAGGGUGACCGGCCACAUUGGGACUGAGAUACGGACCAGACUGCUACGGGAGGCAGCAGUGGGGAAUAUUGCACAAUGGGCGGAAGCCUGAUGCAGCAACGCCGCGUGCGGGAUGACGGCCUUCGGGUUGUAAACCGCUUUCGCAUGUGACGAAGCGUGAGUGACGGUAAUGGGUAAAGAAGCACCGGCUAACUACGUG
rnacentral:rRNA from 1 species